AGGCGCGGAACAUCCACAAUGCACGAAAGUGUGAUGGGGGGAUCCCAAGUGCUCAUGCUUUGCAUGGGCUUUUGCCAUGAGUAAAGAUCAUGGCGAAUAAGUGGUGGGUAAGACUGGUGCCAGCCGCCGCGGUAACACCAGCGCCACAAGUGGCAAUCACAGUUAUUGGGCCUAAAGCGUCCGUAGCCGGUUCAGUAAAUCUUUUGUGAAAUUGCCAAGCUCAACUUGGCAGCGUGCAGAAGACACUGCUGGACUUGAGACCGGGAGGAGCUGAAGGUAUUCUUGGGGGAGCGGUAAAAUGUUAUAAUCCCGAGAGGACCACCUAUGGCGAAGGCAUUCAGCUAGAACGGAUCUGACGGUGAGGGACGAAAGCCAGGGGAGCAAAACGGAUUA
rnacentral:rRNA from 1 species